rnacentral:rRNA from 1 species
AACGAACGCUGGCGGCAUGCCUAACACAUGCAGGUCGAACGAGACCUUCGGGUCUAGUGGCGCACGGGUGCGUAACGCGUGGGAACCUGCCCUUAGGUUCGGAAUAACUCCCCGAAAGGGGUGCUAAUACCGGAUAAUGUCUUCGGACCAAAGAUUUAUCGCCUUUGGAUGGGCCCGCGUUGGAUUAGCUAGUUGGUAGGGUAAAAGCCUACCAAGGCGACGAUCCAUAGCUGGUCUGAGAGGAUGAUCAGCCACACUGGGACUGAGACACGGCCCAGACUCCUACGGGAGGGAGCAGUGGGGAAUAUUGGACAAUGGGCGAAAGCCUGAUCCAGCAAUGCCGCGUGAGUGAUGAAGGCCUUAGGGUUGUAAAGCUCUUUUACCCGGGAUGAUAAUGACAGUACCGGGAGAAUAAGCACCGGCUAACUCCGUG